rnacentral:rRNA from 1 species
CCAGACUCCUACGGGAGGCAGCAGUGGGGACUCUUGCAAAAUGGGGGGCCCCCUGAUGCCGCGCCGCCGCGUGCGUGCCGAAGUAUUUCGGUCUGUAAAGCUCUCUCAGCAGGGCAGCCGCUGACGGUCCCUGCCUAAGAAGCCCCGGCUAACUACGUGCCAGCAGCCGCGGUAAUACGUAGGGGGCAAGCGUUAUCCGGAUUUACUGGGUGUAAAGGGAGCGUAGACGGCAGGGCAAGUCUGGAGUGAAAGCCCGGGGCCCAACCCCGGGACUGCUUUGGAAACUGCCAUGCUAGAGUGCUGGAGAGGUAAGCGGAAUUCCUAGUGUAGCGGUGAAAUGCGGAGAUAUUAGGAGGAACACCAGUGGCGAAGGCGGCUUACUGGACAGUAACUGACGUUGAGGCUCGAAAGCGUGGGGAGCAAACAGGAUUAGAUACCCCCGUAGC